UUUCCGUAGGUGAACCUGCGGAAGGCUCAUUAAAGUGAAUAUGCCCUUCGGGGUAGAUCUCCCACCCUUUGUUUAUAUUACCUUUGUUGCUUUGGCAGGCCCGUCUUCGGACCACCGGCUUCCGCUGGUCAGUGCUUGCCAGAGGACCCAAAACUCUUAUUAUUAAUGUCGUCUGAGUACUCUAUAAUAGUUAAAACUUUCAACAACGGAUCUCUUGGUUCUG
rnacentral:misc_RNA from 1 species